rnacentral:rRNA from 1 species
UGGGAACGCGAAGAACCUUACCUAGACUUGACAUCUCCUGAAUUACCCUUAAUCGGGGAAGCCCUUCGGGGCAGGAAGACAGGUGGUGCAUGGUUGUCGUCAGCUCGUGUCGUGAGAUGUUGGGUUAAGUCCCGCAACGAGCGCAACCCUUAUUGUUAGUUGCUACCAUUUAGUUGAGCACUCUAGCGAGACUGCCCGGGUUAACCGGGAGGAAGGUGGGGAUGACGUCAAAUCAUCAUGCCCCUUAUGUCUAGGGCUACACACGUGCUACAAUGGCUGGUACAGAGAGAUGCUAAACCGUGAGGUGGAGCCAAACUUUAAAACCAGUCUCAGUUCGGAUUGUAGGCUGAAACUCGCCUACAUGAAGCUGGAGUUGCUAGUAAUCGCGAAUCAGAAUGUCGCGAUGAAUACGUUCCCGGGUCUUGUACACACCG